AUUUGGCUACUGUCAGGAGCUGGAGUUGUCCUUGCAUUACCUUCUUCUGCCCUAUCUGCUGCUAGGUGUAAACCUGUUUUUUUUCACCCUGACUUGUGGAACCAAUCCUGGUAAGUUGAGGCUCUUAGCAUACAGCAUGGUGACAGCUCCACUGUCUUACUAAUAGUGCUGCAAACAAGGAGAGGCCCCCCCUGAGGACUUUGUAAAAGAUUUGAUGUGUAGCAUUUUCAUUACCUUUCAGUUUUGAGUGUUUUCUAAUUUUUUUUUUCUUCUUCAACCCAUGGGUUAUUUAAAACCACUUAAAAUUUUUAGUUUAUCUUUUUAAUGCUUUCACUUCGUUUUGUCAUAUAUAGAGCAUGUGAUCGGUAUGGUACUGUUCCUUUUUUUGUUUCUUAAGACGGAGUCACGCUUUGUCGCCCAGGCUGCAGUGCAGUGAGGCGAUCUCAGCUCGCUGCAACCUCCGCCUCCCGGGUUCAAGGGAUUCUCUUGCCUCAGACUCCCGAGUAGCUAGGACUACAGGCGUGCGCCACCACACCCAGCUGAUUUUUGUAUUUUUAGUAGAGAUGGGGUAGAUUUCAGUCCUACAAAGCCUAGUCUUCUGGGGAGGGCCCAAGAUUCUAGACCCGUGCUGUCUAACAAAAAUAGAAUGUGGCUGGGCGCAGCGGUUCAUGCCAGGAAUUCCAGUACUUGACAUCAUUUUUCAUGGCUCCUCGUUUUCCCAUUGUGUGACCAUCCCAGAGUUUACCCUUCCUGACGGAUGGACAUUUAACUUGUUUCUUGGCCAGGCACAGUGGCUCACGCCUGUAAUCCCAACAAUUUGGGAGGUCAAGGCAGGAGGAUCACUCAAGGCCAGGAGUUUGAAAGCAGCCUGGGCAACAUAGCAAGACCCUGUUUCUAUUGAUUUAUUUAUUUAUUUAUUUAUUUUUAGAUGGAGUCUUGCUCUGUCGCCUAGGCUGGAGUGCAGUUGCACAAUCUCAGCUCACUGUAACCUUCACCGCCCGGGUUGAAGCAAUUCUUCUGCCUCAGCCUCUUGAGUAGCUGGGAUUACAGGCUUGUGCCACCACACCCGGCUAACUUUUGUAUUUUUAGUAGAGAAGGGUUUCACCAUGUUGGCCA
rnacentral:lncRNA from 1 species